rnacentral:rRNA from 1 species
CCAAUAGCGUAUAUUAAAGUUGUUGCAGUUAAAAAGCUCGUAGUUGAAUUUCGGGGUCAGUAGUUUGGUCGUGCCAAUGGUAUGUACUGGGCUCACUGAUUCCUCCUUCCUGAUGAACUGUAAUGCCAUUAAUUUGGUGUUGCAGGGAAACUGGACUGUUACUUUGAAAAAAUUAGAGUGUUUAAAGCAAGCUAACGCUUGAAUACAUUAGCAGGGAAUAAUGAAAUAGGACGUUCGAUCCUAUUUCGUUGGUUUCUAGGAUUGACGUAAUGAUUAAUAGGGAUAGUUGGGGGCAUUAGUAUUCAAUUGUCAGAGGUGAAAUUCUUGGAUUUAUUGAAGACUAACUACUGCGAAAGCAUUUGCCAAGGAUGUUUUCAUUAAUCAAGAACGAAAGUUAGGGGAUCGAAGACGAUCAGAUACCGUCGUAGUCUUAACCAUAAACUAUGCUGACUAGGGAUCGGAUGAUGUUAAUUUUUUAAUGACUCAUUCGGCGCCUUACG